rnacentral:lncRNA from 1 species
GGGAUGUAACACGGGACUCUUGCAUCUUUCCUGUUGCAUCAGCCUUAAUGUUUAUUAAUUCUCUCUUAUUUAAAUUUUCUCUUGAAACAUAAUGGACAGUUUAUUUCUAGGGGAGAUUUUUGUACCAGUCAGUUAUGCUGCUCAGUGAAACAGGUAUUCAGGUUUCUCAGUGGGAGUUUGAGCCAAAGAAUAAAGAAUAUGCUGAAGAAUGCUUACAGCUAUUAGACCAUGGGCAGCAUGGACACCAUCUGAGCUCCUGAGCAAGAGGGUUCGUUUCCUUCCAGGACAUGGUGGUAGGUGAGGAAGAGGAGAAGGCAGGUCAGAUGUAGCUGCUGAAGUAGGUUCAGGACUUGUAGGUUGGUGAGAAAACUCAGAAGACUCAGGGAAGAUCAGGCAAAAACAGGUGAUGUUCCAGUUGACAGGACCCGGUGGAAAAUUAGGAGAUUAUUGUAAGCAGACAGAGUGGUGAAUCAAGGGAAGGUGCAUUAAUUUUUUCCUAUUGAUCUUCUGCUUUUGCCAAGCUGCCUGAAGCCAUAAAGAUGUACAACAGCUACUGGAGUAGCUCAGAGAACUACGGAGAAGCUGAACAGUCCAGCUUGGAAACCCACAGAAUCCCAAGUAGAGCCUGCCACUGAACUCUGCCACGUUCUGCAGCUCUGCCAUCGCACACCCUGCCCCAGUCACGUCAGCGUGUCUUCCCAGGCAAGUUUUUCCCAGGGAGAACCUGACCCACCCAGACCUCGCACACAUGCUGACCCGCGGGGCUGGGUGGAGACAUGGCUUCUGUGAAUGUAUUGGGGGCUAGAAAGUCAUGCCAACUGGAAUCAAGGACAGUGACACUCAAGAGCUAGGUGGGCAGGAGGGGACCAAAAGUGCAGGGCUUAAGCGACUGUACUGGGAUUGGGAAUGGGGCUUCAGACUGCAGGGACUAGAAACAGAAAAGGCUGGGGGAGCUGAGGAGCCAUCUGGAGGUGGUAUAGUGCAGGGUGGUGGCUCUCAAACUUUUUCAUCUAAGGACCUCUCCGCACUCUUAAAAAUUAUUAAGGCCCCACAGAGGGAACUUUAGCUAUCAAUGUUGACCUUAUUAGAAAUUAAGCCGGAGACGUUUUUAAGACACAGAACAUAUGUACACUCAUUCCGUAGUUGUCGGAGUGAUGGUGUCGCCUCUCUUCUGACAGCCUUGGACCACUGCCCUGCGUACUCCUGAGAGGGAGUGAAAAAGGCAAACGACAUCUUAGUGUGAUCAGGAAUGAGCUGUGACCCUGGAGGACCUCAGGAAGGAUUUUUCCCAGGGUUCCCAGAUACACUUGGGAAAUGAUGGCACAGUUGUUCAGAACCUGGCCUCCAGGGCCAGACUGCAGCAGGGAGACAGCAGGUUUCUCAGGCAAUGCCUCCAUUUCUUCAUAAAAUGAGGCAGUAGUGGUGCCUUCCUGACAGGGCAGCUGAGAGGAUAAGAGACAAUUCACAGGAGGGUCCCUGAGCGAGCCCGGCACAUUGUGUGUCAUCAGAACAUACAAUGUGGUUCUGAUGUGUGUGGUUCUGCUCAGUCCUUGCAUGACUGCCCCAAGGGCAGAGCCCAGACAGUCCGGGCCUUCAGAUCCCAGGGCUGCUGAGUGAACAGCCUCAGCUCCAAAGGUCAACGCAGGGGCUCCUGGCUCCAUGAGGGGUCCUCAUGCUGAGUCCACCUCUAUGAGAAGGCUCAGCCCCACCCAGGAGCCUGAGGGAUCUCACGACCCUGGUGGAUCUCCAAGGCUUUGAUCUCAGGAGAUACUGAAGUAACAGUCCUUGGAAAUGAGAUGCAGUCUGAUAUCUCAGCCAAGAUGAUUGUUAAAAAAAAAAAAAUGUUUUUAUGAUAUACAUGACCUGAAUUGCUGAGGUACCUCUUUCUUUGCCUUAAUCAAUAAAAAUGUGAAAUUGGGCCAAUUUAUGAAUAUUUCAUAUAUGUAACAAAUCUAACUUUUUAAUGAUCAAAAGUAAUCAGUUCAGUGGAGUCUCCAGAACCCAGGAGGCAGGCCGGGUGGCGGACACAAGCACACCACCCUAAGUGCUCAGUUCUGUUCCAACUGGCCCAAGGAUGUCAGACCCAGCUCCCUCCAAGGAGAGCCAGUGCUCCUCGGAGGCUGGGAUACACUGGACAGUCCCACCAGCAGGGCCUAGGAGCGCGUGGUGCUGGCCAAACUCGCACACAUGCAAAUGAUACCAGAGCCGUGCGCUCAGGCCAGGCAGACCCUCCAUCAAUACUGCCCUGAUAGGACGUGUUCCUUACUUGAAGAGACCACAGUAGGCUGAGAAGGUCAUGUCCAGAGCAUUACCUACAUAAAUAGGUAAACAAAGACAUUCAGACAACAGGGUUGUAUGAGCAAGGGGCACUUCCCUGUGUAACAGGGCAGGGUGGGGUUUGGCUGCCUGAGGUCCAGGAAGCGCCAACAGGCUUGCCUCCCUCCUGGUUUAGCUUUCUCCUCUUUUCUCCUGGGGACCCCACCCACCCACUCCCACGCAAGGCUCUCAGGACGUCUUACACUUUGGGGCUGUUCUUUCUCUCUGUGCCCAUUGCCGUGGGCCAGUCCUCACAGAGCAUUGGCAGUGUUUCCAGCACAGAGGCCCACAGAGUGGCCCCUGUUCAUUCCCUGCUUUUUGAGCCCUAUCUGCUGGCAUGAGUUACCUUGAGGCCCAUCCCUGCACAGCCGGAGAACCUAGAGCUGGAGGGCUGCAGAGGCCACCUCCUUCAGCUUCUUGGCAGACUGCAGAAAACAGAUGUGGAGGAGGAAAGGACUUUCUCCAUGGGCUAGGGAGUGAAGAACAAAGCACUUGCCCCCCCCCCCCCGUGUGUGUGUGUGUGUGUCUGUAUGUGUGUAUGUGUGUGUCUGUGUGUGUGUGUGUUUGUGUGUGUGUGUCUGUGUGUCUGUGUGUUUCUUCCUCUCAUCUGCCUUUUGCUCAACUAUGGAAGUCUUGGAGCAGGUAGGGAAGAUCCAUGUCCAGAGCAUUACCUACAUAAAUAGGAAAACAAAUACAUUUGGGAAGAUAGGAACAGUAUUUCUACUCUUGUAAGGCAAGCUGAUUUCUCUGCAGUUCUCUAGGUCUUGUGCCUGCUAAUCCAUAAGAAAGGGUUCUCUGAAGCCCAAGUUGUUAGCUGAUAAGGGAUUCAGGAGAUUUGUAUAAUAAGGGACUCUUAAAGGCCAAAAUGGCUCUCAAGACUCAAAGGACUGAAGUUAUGAAAGUGGAAAAUUAAACUGUGCUGCUGAGUUCCCCGGGCCUCCCUGAAGCCCAACACUGUGUUCUUUCUGUUUGGAGUGCAGGAGCCGGCCAGGACUCUGUUGAUGACCUGGAUCACACCUCUGUGUUACCAGUUCCCAGGAAGGCUCGCCCUGCUGUUAGGAGGCACAGGGUGUGAGAGCUCGGAGUCCAGAGCUUCUCGCUCAGGUUACUCUUGGGUUGAAGAGGCGAAGUGAUUUUCUCCAGUCACACACCACUUAGUGUUGGAAGCAGAGCCUUUGGAAGCUCUGGUGUCUCAGACCAGAACCCUCUAUACCAGUGGACCCCAUGCCUCUGACUAUGUGGAGCACUUCAAAGUCAAAGCUGUCACCUUGGACCUCAAGGGCACCUGAUCUUAACCAGGUAUGAUGGCAUGACCUUAGCCAGGUAUGAUGGCAUGCACCUGUGGUCCCAGCUACAGGGUAGGUUGAGGUGGGGGGAGGGGGUUGCCUGAGCUCAGAGUUUGGACGCCAGCCUGGGCAGAUUCUAGACCCUGUAGCUAGGAUAAGAUAAGUACAUAAAAAGAUCAAAGGCACCCAACCAUGAAUCAGUCUUUGGCGAUUCACUGCUGAAUCAACCACUCUGAUUUAGCCCUCAGUGUCAGUGGACACAAACACCCUCCUGCCCAAGUCAUCCUCUGCCCAAAAUUCUACAGGGUUUCUCUUGCCUAUUCACAUGUCUCGUCCUGUAUUACACAUGAGGGUCUGUCUCCCUGGAGUAAUGAUCUUGUUUAAACUUUUAGGGGAAAAAGACCACACCAUUAUGAUAGUGCCCCCCUUAUCUGCAGAGGUAUAUUUCAAAUUACUCCAUGAGAGCCUAAAACUGAGGACGGUACCAACAUCUAUAUAUACUCUGUUUUUUCAUAUGCAUGCCUACCUAUGGUAAAGUUGGACUUACAAAUUAGGCACAGUAAGAGAUUAACAACAGCAACUAAAACUAAACAGAACAACAUACCGUAAUCAAAGCUUGUACUUCAGGCCAUUCUUAGGUAAAAUAAGUUCCUUGAACUCAAGCAUUUCAAUACCGGGACUGAUGGUCUGAUAAGAAGUGACUACUAAGUGGAUGGGCAGUGCUUCCAUAGGGGUGUGCUAGACAACGGGGGACUCACGUUCGGGGCAUGAUGGAGAGCUGCAGGGCCACGUUUCUUCAGACCACUCAGAACAACAGCAAUAAACAACACAAACUUGUGAAACAUUAUUUCUUGAAACUUCCAUUUAAUAUUUUCAGACUGCAGUUGACUGUAGGUAACCAAAACCAUGGAAAAUGAAACUCUGGUGAGGAGGGACUACUGUAUUUUUAUUUUAACUAUGAAAAGAAGUAAAGCUUGAUUGAUCCUCUGAGAUAACACAGGCACAUGGCUCUUUCAGGCUACUGCCGCCCAAAAGUUCAAGUUCCUCUAACAUGGAGCACAAGGAAAGGGCAAAACUUGGCUGGUGAUGGUCAGCAAAGCCCUUCAUGAUUUGACCCUCACCUUCAUCACCUCCCUGCGCUCAGGGGCUCAAGGCCCUGCUAGAUGACCAGCGAUGUCCCACGCAGCCUGUGUGUUUCUGUGCCCACUGCUCGUGGGCACAUGGUUCCUGCUAACUUGGGGGUCUCCACUUGGGCAUGAUUGACAUUAGGGGCUGGGUGAGUCUCUAUUGGGGGCUUGUCCUGUCUAUUGAAACCACAUCCUUGCUGGUCUCCACUCACUUGAGGCCCAAAUUGACCUCAAGUCAUGACAAUCAAAAAAUGUCUCCAGUCACCACCACAUGUCCCCUGGGGGAGGGGGAGCUGCAAAUCGCCUAGUCAAUACCCACUGUUUUAAUGGAAUGAACUUCUGGAGCCCCUCCAUCUAGUGAUCCUACUCCUUUCCUGGCUCAAUCCAAACAUCACCCCUCUGGGAAGCCUUCUGGAAGUGCCCAGGCAGAACUAGAUGUCCUUGUUUCCACAGGACUUUGUAGAUGUGCCCCAGUUCUGUGCUUAUUCGUGGUGGUGCAAUUGUUUGCUCUGCCCCAUUAGACUAUGAACUCCAGGAGGUCAAGGAUUAUGACUCUGAAUCCACAUUCUUAACUUCCCAGCACUCAGCCAACAUCUGACAUAGAAGGAACUGAGUAAAUGUUGAAUGAAUGGGCCGUGUGCAACGUCAGGCUGACCCUCCCUGAGGAGUGACUCCUCCAAGACAUGUCAUGAUUAUUCUCAGUCACUGCCAGAAAUGGUCUCAGCCUCGUGAUCUCACUCAAUCCUUGUUUGAAUCAUUUCUUUGCCAAAGGAAUAACUCAGAUUUUCAUUUCUAGUCGCAGUGGUAUUAGACUCCUGAUAGAAACUGGGGAAACUGAGGCUCUGAGAGUUUCAUUUGCAAACGUAGCCUACUGGUGGCCUUGGGAGUAGACACCAGGGCAGAUCAACUGAAAACCCCAGUUCCUGCCCUACCUUUAGAUUCCAGAUUUUUAUUUUCAAGAGUGACUGUGAAAAAAGCAGCCAUUUAAAGUCCGAACAGCUUCCAUGUACAUCAGCAAGGGCUGCUGAUACCCGGCUGCAAUUUGUGACACUUCUUAUCAUUGCACCCAACAUCAAAUUCUACCAAAAUAUGGGAAAAAUCAUUUUGAUGUUUCAUUUGCAUAUCCAAGGAUUGGAGGAUGGUUUGUAUAAUCAAAUUAUGUCGAGUUGUAAAAGGGAGCAUGGUUUAAAUAGCUUACAAAAUUACUUUGAAGAUGCACAUUAAAAUCUAAAGAACCCAUCGCCUUCAAGAUCUUUACAAAAAGCUAAAUGCUAAUUGAUUAUGACAGCUUUGUCUUUACCACUGGCUGCAGUCAGUGUCACAGCCCGCAUAUCACUCUCUGCUCCCCUCCUCUUCCAGCCACAUUCAUUCCAAGCUCAAGUAACAGAUGGAAUUUUAUGCAUGACUGGCUUUCCCCCCCUCUCCCCAUAGUUGAUCAAAAGGAGCAGCCUAGAAAAAAAAAAUAAAAACUAGAAUUUGCUGAAAUUCUGAUUUCUUUCAGCAGUUUUAUAGAUUUUAUAACUUAUCUUUUAUUGACUAUGCAAGGUCUCUGGUCCCCAGCAUCUGUUUGUUGCAUCUGGGGAAAAAGAUAAAUUCCCCCUUUUUGAUACCACCAAGCCAAAAUUAACAGACAAACAGGAGUUAAUAGAAAAGGAGAGAAAUGUAUCCCUGUCCAUCCAGUGUCCUCUUUCCCAGUCUCUCUGUGGACAGGACAAAAGGAGGGAGAAUACGGGGCUCUUCCUACUUGUCGGGUUUACUAGCUUAGGGGUAAACAUCCUGAAGACGGGCGGAACCACCUAGAACAGGUCCUCUCCCAAGAGAAGACCUGGGAACUGUGGGGGACUUGGCCAUGAGCAUGGGUAAGGAGGCUACUUUGUAUACAUGGAAAAGAAAAGAAAAGAAACACUAAUCUACACAUCGUUUACAAUUUCUUAGACUUAAAGAAUUGUGCCUGGUCACCCAGAGACAUGAUUCCACAUCAUGGAGCUUCAUUAUAAUAAUGGCCCGGUCCUCCGACUUGUUUAAAACCUCAGCUGUUCGAUCCAGCCUCUGCAGCUCCAUAACUGUUCAUAAGAUUAAUAGACUCCGAUGCACAAUUGACUCUCCCACCGGGAGGGGAAAAAAAGAGAAUAAUCAGAGGCCGCACAGAAGUAGCAUCCCCAUAAGGAGGUGGUGUCUGUCCCAUUGAAGAGGUCAAGGGCAGGGGAGGAUUGCUAGCACAGCAGAGGAAGAGUCCUGGGGAGCGGAUGGGACACACCCCUGCCAUUUAGUCUUUAGUGGGCAACUAAAAAACAGCCUGAGUGUCUUGGCAGGGUCAUGCUCUGCAGCAGGGAGCAAGGUCAGAGCUGGAAGAGGCGGGACAGAGGAUCGGGCGCCUACCACACGAGCGUGGAAGGCCAGGGAAGGGGAAUCCUCAGAGGAACCGGAAGUGGUGGAGGCUCUGAUGGGUGGUGUCAGUGGAACUCAGAAGGACAGUGUGUGUCCCUGGCUGCUCCUUCCCAUUCUGGGGUUAUGGGUCACAGAGUGUCAUGCCAGGUCCCCCGGGUCUUUCAAAGAGAACAUGAGCUGGUAAGGGUGGCGGGGCAGGCCUCGGAGUGUCACCUUGAAGGUUAAAGGAAAUGAAGGACUUGGGUGAGUGGGGGGCAGAGCUGAGGCUCAGAGGCAGGCCCUGCUGACCACACAGAGCUGCAGAAGGGGUGUGCCUGGACCAGCAGAGCAGGGUGGGCGCCCUCACGCUGCAGACUUCGGACACGGUCCCUGCAUGCUUAGAGGGUCAUUUUAUAGAGCAGUCACUCGGGGGCCUGGCGACUUGAACACAGGACCAGGCCUGACCAAAAGGUGGGGUCAGCAGCAGACUGUCACGGCUAGCUGGCGGCACGCCCGCUCUCCUUUCACCCACGGCACCUCUCCUCUCGGCUUGUUCUAAUGUUCCAGAAAAAGACCGGUCUUAUGGGGGCGGGGGUUGGAGGAGCAAAAUUAGAAGAAGAGAUCGAAGCACAGAGGGCCUUCUUUUCUACCCCAAAUAGUGAGAGACCCACACCCCACACAUAAGGAAGAGAGAUGGGAGCUGAUCUUCCAUGGUCAUCAGAUUUGGGCUCCUUCCUCUUUGCCGUAAAUAACCGCUCUUAGCUGACAUCUGCUGCUGCUUCCCCACUGCCUGAAAAGCGCAGAGUGAUCGCAGAGAUCAGGCUCUAUCUCUGCUUCUGUUUUCCUUUGAACUGACCACCAAGUGACCCGGUGUGAAGGCAGGUCACGUCCUUGCUAAUGUGGCCAGAGUCACAUAUUUGCCUGAGGAAAGCCUGCUGCACCAGAGUGAAGGCAUGUCACAGGCUCCUGCGUGACAUGGGGGUGCUCCACCAUGAACCUUCUCCUGCAGAUUCCUGUGAGACUUGGCACCAUUUUAGAAGUGCAUUUUGCAUCAUGGAUAGAAGAGGCCAGGGUCUCAGAGUUGGCUCUAUCUGAAAGACCUCCUGGCCAGGUGAACUCCAGUUAGUCCUUUCUACCAUUUCAGGGCCAGACAAGCAGAGAGUGCCCAACAUCAGUUUAUUGUCUUCUAAGAACCACUGGUCUUCUUCAGAGAAGGGAAGAGUCCUUGCUGUACCUGGGUCUGCCAAGCGCUAAUCUGACAUGGCAGCGAGGAGCAGUUCAGCCCAGGCUGUCUUCCACCUCACAGGUUCGGAAUGCUGUCUGCUAGCGCAGGAGUCAAACAAUUCCCUGGCAGUAGAUUGCUUUGCACUUAGAGGUCUACUAAGUAAAUAGAAAUGUAAUUAACAGUGUGCUAUGGUGGAUGUAUCAGGUGGAAUUUCAUUAGAGCAGAAAGAACUGAGAGAAUCAGGAAGUCAUUUUUUGUCCACUGUCUGAUGAAUCUUUCAUGCUGUCUUUCUCUAGGAUGGGCACGUUAUCUCUGCUUGUCUUCAAGAAGAGAAAUUUCUGAACUUCCUAUUAUAUCUUCCCUUUGAUCAAGGGGAAAAGGAAAAAGAAAAGACAAAAAUCUCGAGUUUCUAGAAUCGGCCCCCAAAUAAAGAAUCCUUCUUACUUUUCCA